UACGUAGGGGGCGAGCGUUGUCCGGAUUCAUUGGGCGUAAAGCGCGUGUAGGCAGCAGUUUAAGUCGGCCGUGAAAUCCCUCGGCUUAACCGGGGAACUGCGUCUGAUACUGGAUGGCUUGAGGUUGGGAGAGGGAUGCGGAAUUCCAGGUGUAGCGGUGAAAUGCGUAGAUAUCUGGAGGAACACCGGUGGCGAAGGCGGCAUCCUGGACCAAUUCUGACGCUGAGGAGCGAAAGCCAGGGGAGCAAACGGG
rnacentral:rRNA from 1 species